AGCGAACGCUGGCGGCAGGCCUAACACAUGCAAGUCGAACGAACUCUUCGGAGUUAGUGGCGGACGGGUAAGUAACACGUGGGAACGUGCCUUUAGGUUCGGAAUAACUCAGGGAAACUUGUGCUAAUACCGAAUGUGCCCUUCGGGGGAAAGAUUUAUCGCCUUUAGAGCGGCCCGCGUCUGAUUAGCUAGUUGGUGAGGUAAAGGCUCACCAAGGCGACGAUCAGUAGCUGGUCUGAGAGGAUGAUCAGCCACAUUGGGACUGAGACACGGCCCAAACUCCUACGGGAGGCAGCAGUGGGGAAUCUUGCGCAAUGGGCGAAAGCCUGACGCAGCCAUGCCGCGUGAAUGAUGAAGGUCUUAGGAUUGUAAAAUUCUUUCACCGGGGACGAUAAUGACGGUACCCGGAGAAGAAGCCCCGGCUAACUUCGUG
rnacentral:rRNA from 1 species